CUGCACGGAGUCUGCAGCACAGCCUAUGGUCUGCAGUAAGGAGAAGCAACGGAGUUUGGAGUGCGCGUGCAGGAAGAAGGUCGUGCUUGUUUGAUUUCAAACGGAAUUGCACAUUUUUGUGGCUUUUUUGGGGGGGUGCUUGCAUCUCCCUCUUGUCAUUUACAUUGGACACUGAGGAACACUGAAGUGUAAAUGACACAUCCACAAUGGAUACCAUCUCCUGGUCUGAGGGUACACCGAGCCAAGCUUUUGGGUUGCAGGCCUCAAACUCCACCAUGCAAAAUGACACGAGAUACCAGUGUUUUAUGCCUGGGGAACAGAUUAAUGGAAAACAAAACAUGUAUGGUAGUCAUACCCAACUGACGCAGCACGCAGACUACCAUAGUGCACAUUAUACCUCACACAGUGGACAAACUGCCAAUGGGAAUUAUUGGAAUGACAAAGCUACGGACUUAAACUCUGUUCGAAACCGCGAUGGCUUUGCCGCACAUAGGAGUGGCAGCGGAUUUUCUGAACCAGUACCUCAGCUGCCGUUGAGAAACCAGACUUUGAUGAAUGGAAAUGGCAGUUGCAUUGCCCAAUCGAGACCAUACCUACCGCAGUCCCACUAUGCUCCACAUCAAAACCCUUUGAAAACCGAUGUUCCUCAGACUGUGAUGGCGAAUAGAACAAACACACACCUGGCACCUUCAGCCAUAGGGGGUAUUCCACAUACCCAGGAGACGUUGCAGUUCUCGAGAGUUGGUAGUGGGGCCCCGCCCUCUGGCACACAGGCUCAUGGAGACGACUUGACGGCCAUCGAACAUAUAAACAGAAUUACAAACUUUUUGAUGGGGGAGAGUGUUAACCCCUCUGCAAAUGUUUACAGUUCACUGGAAGGGAACCCAAACCAUCAGUACUUGCAGGCAACGGUGGGCAUGGGACAGGGUGUGAUGAGUAGGGCUGAUGGCACAGUGAGAAAGAGCAACAGAAAAAGCAUGAAAGGCUCCAAUGGCGCAGUAGCCCCUCCCACCGGAGAGAUUACAAGCUUGGAGAAUGUUCUGGUGGACAGGGGGAAAGGCAUAAGGGAGAACCUUCCUUCUGCUAUUUUUUCUUCUGUGGGUCAACAUGCCAAUCCCAGUUAUUUACAAGGACUGUUAAGCAGGAGUCAGGGGUCUGUCGCCAGGACCCCAGCUGGUACUGCAUGUCCUCCCUCUGGCCAGAGCAGCUGUUGGUCUGCAGGCCCAGGUGUAAAUGCUGUUAAAGGAACAGGCAGUGGGAGUGGCACAGGUUCCAAGGAAAGGACAAAUAACAUUCAGCCCAGGAGCUGUGCUGCUGGCAACUAUUUUAGCAAAGUUAACCCGUCUUAUUACAGUGUCAACAGGGACAAAAGCGUCAGCCAGGUUGGUGCACUUGGAAGUGGGUCUGGAAAUUCCUUGCCUGUGCAAAAUGCGAUGGAACGGCAACCUUCCUCCCACUUUCCAAGCAGUGCUGCUGCUGGUAACUUUUCUGCACAUUCCCGAUGUACGGAAGGACAGAGCCGCCACUUCCCUCCAACCGAUCACCAACUGCCUGGGGCACAGAACCCAAUGAGGGUACAGGAGGCGCAACGUCGUACUCAAAGUUAUACUGGAAAAGAGCAGCAAUUCUUCAUUCCCAAGACCUUAAACGGAGGUGUGGCUGCCGCAACGCGGCACGUUGGACCCGCUCAAAUUGCGAAACCUGCUCCAAACCAAAUUCCUCAGUCAAAUUUUGAAAGUCAAAAUGGACACCCUCAUGCUUUGGGCAGUGGUUACAGAUUCACUUCAACUUUACCAAAUGAGGCUACGCAACCGCACAGACUGAUGCCGGACAAUCAGCCUUCUGGUAACCCCCCACCGUAUCCCAAAACACAAAGGUAUUUUGUCACUGUAACACAGGACAGGCCAGGGACAGGAUUCACAGCCAAAAAUGUGAUCUUCAUGACUGAUAACCACGCGUGUGCCUUGAGCGAACAGCUGCAAUUGACUUCCAAAGAGGGACCCGCAAAAUUGGACUCUGGAGUUGCAUAUGGAGAGCUCUCUGGCAGCAGCGAUCCAAAGAAUUGUGAAACCCAGCUUUUGACCGCUAUCACGAGAGCAGAGUCUGUUUUCAGCAUGCCCAAGCCAACAAAUCAGCAGAAGGGUACCGGGUCGUCGGGUCAAAGAGCGGUGGCAGUUGUUCCGCCGAUAUCUCAGCAGUCCUCAAACUCUGCAGAUGUGGGGAGUGGCAUCAUCAAUACCAAUGAAGGACUGCCAUUUAAAAUAAAGAAUGUGUGGUCCCUUGCUGAAGAAGAAUAUGCAACCCAACAAAAAAUUGAUAGUGCCGUUUCUGUGACUGUGUCGCACGGCACAGGAUCAGAUGAGAAUUUAAAACGGAAUAUCUUUACAUCUGUCCCUGCAACACACGUUGAUUCAUCAUCACCUUCAGAACAGGCUUCAUCCCCUCUUCAACAGACUGCACAAGCCCCAGAUUUAGUUAGCCCAUCGAUAUACACUACAGACGCUUUGGCUGUUGCAGAAAAGGACAUCGAAAAAUCAAACCCACCUGACCUUCAACCUAAAACACCUGAAGUUGCUCACCAGACUGAAAAAAUAAGUAGUUUUAAUGUUAAUAAUUCUGAAACCCUGCCUAGUUUGAGUGUUAUUGAAAGUGGUGAUCAAAAUGGAGAAUCAAAGGAAAAUACUUUUGAUUUAUCUUCAGUGCCUGUGUUUAAGUGGACAAUUUCUAAACUGUAUAAGCUGAUGUCAUUACUUGAAUGGAGGCAAGGGCCCCUUCAGGUGGAGAUGGACCUUGAAAAGCUCCAUGGUAUUUAUGGGAGUUGUAGUUACCCAGACGUUUCUGAUGUUUUUAGUUCAGAUCUCUAUAUGUCAAUAAUGAAUGAGGCUUCUAGUAUAUCCCCCGAAUAUAAACAUGCUGUCAUUUUUUCACAAGUUAAGAAAUCGUACCAUAAGGCAGUGAGAGAGAACUGCCAUAUAGUAACACAUGAUGCCACUUUCUCUGAGGAUGUAGUCUACAAGUCUUCAUGGUUGAACCUCAACGAGCAGCUUGAUGACAUAGAUAAAGAACAUGGACUCCCAUUACACCUGAGGUUAAGACGGCACACACUUGAGGAAAAGUGUGAGGACAAGGAAGUGAAUGAAUCUGACAGUGGCAACCUACCACCAGUACUGACCAAGGCAGAGUUGCCAGCAUCCUCCGAACAUGUCAGUCACUCCAAGGAUCCACUUUCCACUAUCAAGAUCAAUGUGCUUCCAUCUGAAGUGGAAGUGAAUGAAACUGAAAAUGGCAGCCUGCCUGAAGCUCCUAUCGCACAAGAGGCUGAGGAAAGGCUUGUGUCACAACCGCCAACACAAACCGAGUUGCCGGCGCCUGAAGAAGAAGGUGUCAGUGACUUCACAGAUCCACUGUCCUGCAUAGAGAUCAACGUGCUUUCAGGAGAGGAAGCAAGAAGGUUUUUCAACGAAAUCACAGAGGAGGCAGAGGACCUGCAGAGUGAGCUCCCAAAACCAGACUCAAAGGAAAAGGAGACCCAAAUGGACGCUGAGUCGCCUGAACGGCCAGUAAAAGAGGGGGAAAAGAGCCAGAUGGAAGUCUACUGCUGUCUUGCGCGCUGGCUCUGUGUGAUGACGGGCUAUGGAAACAAAUCUGUCUGCUCAUGCCAGAGGGAGGACGAAUCCAAUCAGGAGAAAAGGGAGUCGGGUGCAAGUAAAAACAACAACGGUGUGGUGCCAGCUCCAAGCCCACCGGGAAGAGGCCCUGUGGGGACUGCCCAAUCGGAGCACAGCACUGGAACUGCCGACUCGUGCGGGGAAAAGAAUGCGAAGGGUGCACCUGAUAAAUGUGCAGUGCCUGAGCACAAAUCAGUGGUGAACCCAGGGCGAGAGGACUCCCUGUGUAGAGCCACAGGGGGAAACGGAGGGCCUCCUUCAGUGCAAAAAGUGGAGAUGAGAAGGAAGACCCCUUCUGACCAAUCAGGAGUAGAAAACCAGGCUCAUCCUGAAACCGCUCCCACCAGCGCUCUCAGCGGUUCAAAUGUCACAGAAGUGAAAAUCCAGGCCCUCCAUUCAUCUUACAACAAAGCCCUCAAAGCCUCUUCAGUGGUGGCACCAUUGUGGACUCCACCACAGGCAAAUGUGGAUGGACAUGCUAUUAGCUCUGGGUCCAUAGGAACCAGAAAAGCUUCAUUAGGGUGUAAUGAAGUGGGGGCUAAAUGUGGAACAUUUGGCCAACAGGUUGGAUCCCCAGAUGCAAAAGGCCUCAACAGGAGAGUGCAUGUUCACAAACGUCAAACGUCCAGUGAGAACCACAACCGCAAGGAUGACAACGUGGCUAAGAGGGAAAGCAAACGCAGAAAACGGAAAUGGGAAAUCUCAAAUCCCAGAUCUUCUGCCCUUGAUCGCUCGGCCAGUGACCUUGAGGAAAGGAACAAGAAAAAGAAAAAAAGAAAAACGUCUCACCCUCAAGCUAUCCCUGAGAUUAAAACGACUGUGGUGGAACAUAAAAGCAGGACAUCUCGGCAGGAAAAACGCAAAGGAGAUCUCCAUUCAGAAUCCCUCGGACCAACGGUUCCUAAAAGAGCUAAGAGCGAACGCCCAAGAAAUGGUCCAGCAAACAAUAGUGAAAAGGGAAAAAUGCCAAGAAACGCAAAUGUGCUUCUGGUAUUAAGUAAACGGCAGGAGAAAGCUAGUAGUGUAAGUCUUGCAUUGUAUGGAUCCUCUCCCCAGAAAAGAACUGGGACGCUGCAUUCGCAGGGACGGGUGGACAGCAAGCCAGUUAAAAUUAAAUCAAGCGCUGGGACAACACCACGCCCGCCAGCAACCGUUAGCUUUGGUGUUCCUUCCGAGAAGACCGAUCCAUUUCAACACUGUCCUCCUGUCAAAAGUCUUGCAAAGCAGCAAGUCUUUGACAAGUGGAAGAGCAGCUUGGUGCCAGCAAAAGAUGGCCGCCAGACAAAGCCUCACAGUUCUAAGAAUGGCAAAAACGGAGCGAAAAUUCCACGCGUUACUCCGACCACGCAUCCGAAUAAUCCAAAGCCUCCCACAAGCCAGACCAGUGCUCCUUUAUUAUCUCAACCAUUGGUUACACCAAUUAAACUCAAAGCAGUGACUGUUUGCCCAAAAAAGAGCAAGAACAGAAAGAGCUCCACAUUUAAAUCCACAGAGAAUGAACUCUACUCAAAGCCUGUUGACCACACUGCAUCUAAAAUAACCUCUACUACCAAAAGAAGAGUUACCACAGAAGGAAGGCAACGUAAUUCGACCGCACAACCACUGUUCCCACUGAAUAAAGUUAGGCUGGAGAGGAUUAAGCCCAAGAAAGUAGAACAGAGACGGUCCACUGUACCCGAUACCCAAAUGAAGAGUAAAUUUGAACUUGGGAACCCUGCCCUGAUUGCACUGCAACAGGACGGCAUGUUAGAAUUCAAGCUGCUUCCCGAGUCCUUCAACUUCAAAGACAGUCAAGAUCACAGGGAGUCUGUGAAACCGAAAGAAGUGAAGAGGACAGUGAGUGCUAAAACUGGCCGUCAACAAUCAGAAAGCCUGAAGAUGAGCACAUGGAAACGCCAAGAUUCCUGGUCAAAGAGUUCAAAAGACCUGACGUCUACUGAAGUAAGGUCUCCUGGUGCAGAAACUACACAUUCGGGCACCACCUUUCAGACGUAUAAGAAGAUGUACAUGGCAAAGGGCAAGAUAUAGUUCUUUUUCCCAGAAUGCACUUCAUGGAAAAUGAAAAAAUGGAAGGUUAUGAGUCCUGCAUAACCUUCAUGUUGUUUCCUGUGGAAACGGUCUGCUACCGUGCUUAUUCCUGGCCUUCUCCUCAGUUGAGAGGGGGGGGGUAAUAAAAGUGUAUGACUUAAAUACUUUGGUUAGUAUUUAAUUAAAUAAUUUUUUUUAUAUAUCCAUUUGGACACAUUUUUAUCAUUCAUAAAGGCGCAUCUCUCUUUCAUCCUUGGGGAAAUUUGAGAGAAGAACUGCUUCAUUUUUCUGACGUCUCCUUUGGGAGGCGGAUUUAUUUUCCUCCCAUCUCUCCACUCUACUGACUGUAAUCUGGAAAUAAUUCUGAGCACCCAGGAUGUGUCGUAUCCUGACCUUCCAGACAACAAAGGACAACUGAACCUCACACAGACCGACCAGAGCAGCAUCACUUUUCAAGCAUUAAAUUCCCUGGCAUACGUGACCAUGAGGACUGCUUGAGCGCAUUUUCUGUUGUGAAUCCCAAGUGAAGUGUUACCCAGGACUUGAUGUUUACACAGCCAAAAAUGCUUGCCUUAGUUGUUGGUUGAAAACUGGGAGAAUAAGCAUGCCUUACAGCUAUGGGAAAAAUUGCAAAACGAAAAAGGAUAAAAUGGCGGCUUUAAUUUCGCCAAUUUAGAGGCUUGCCGUUCCCCACAUUUAGGAUGACCAGACAUAACGCACUGAGUGUUAAAACUGACAAGAUGUAGAAACAUUUGUUUUCCUCAAAAUGGCAGCUUAUGUUAUAAUACGAUAUAUUGAAUACAAAAGUGUUACAUUUAGUUUUGUACUGUAUUUUCUAGUUUUACACACAAAAGCAGCUUCCCACAAUCUGCUAUGCAACAAUAUAUUUUUACCUGUACAACAUUGCAUCUGUUUCUUGUAACCAGAUUUUUCCCCAUUGAUUUACCUUUCUUUUUAUUUUUUAUUACUUUUCAAAUUGUAAGGCAUUUCUCCCUGAUACCAUACAGUGUUUACAAAUAAAAAGUGGUCUGGUACCUAGA